UCAAAAUUACUUGGUUGUUAAUUGCGUCCAAAUCCUUUGUUGAUCACAUUGAUUGCAUCCUAAUAUAUCAGUGAUCACAUUGAUUACAUCCAUAUCAUGUACUAGCUAUAAACUAUCUAAUCUAGAAGUGGUCGUCCUUUAAUCCAUAAUACGCCAGUAUAACAUGGACCUUGCUUUGGGACUUAACAUAGAAACUGAGAUACCAACUAGGAAAGAUACACUCAGAGAAACUAGAAAAUAGCAAGACAUUUGGUAUGUCAUGGUUAACACAUAUGUUACUCUGAGCAUCGACCUGCCUCCUUGGUAAGCCCAGUUCCCAUGGAAGAUGUGUUUUUAUUGGUUACACAUGUAUAUCUUGGGCCCUAGUUUUUUGUGGCCCAUAAAAUAAUAUGUACAAGGCUUUUCUGGAAGUAGCCAACACAACCUAAUAUAUUAUAUGUUAAAAGUAAUUGAUGGGCUCACCAAAAAAGGACAAAAGUGCUAGAAAAUCCCUCAAAACAAAAAACAUCUGACUAUCUAUCUAUUAUAUAUUAUAAGUAAUCGACGGGCUCCCCAGAAAAAAGAUAAAAAAUGCUAGAAAACUCCUCAAAAAAUAAAAUCAUUCGACUGUCUAUUUAAUAGGCUGGAAUUUUAUAACCAUUAGAAUAGUUCUAAGUGAAAUCAUUACCCACCAUUGCCAUUAUAAGAAAAAAUGCUUCAUCCAACUUAUUAGGACGUGGGUUGAUGCCAUCUUAUUAAGAUGUGGGCUGAUGCCAUAUUAUAAUGGAAAAAUAGUUACGUUCCCAUAAUACAAAAAGGACUACUCACACAUGAACACGGUGGCAGCAAUGUUCAUGUAAAUGAUCUCUGUGAUGUAUUCCUCCUCGGUAGAGUACCUGAUUGGAUAUUCACGGAGCAGAGAGGUGGGCGGCGCAAAAAUCCUCUAUUAAUAUUUUUGAGGUUUUCGGGAGUAUAUAAAGGCAGCGGAAGAAAGAGGCGAUGGAGGCGACUUCUAUGGCGGCCAUGCUCCCCCUUGGAUGCUAGUGCCGAUCAAUGGCAUGUGGCCUAGUGUCCAGGUGGGUCCAUGUCCCUCCGGCUUCAUUUCUUCAUGAAACUUGGUGUGUUUUUUCAGUUCUUUGGUCCCUGAAAAGUUCAUUUUUUAAAGAAUCCAAAAAACAACAACUGGCACUUUGCACUGAAUUAAUAGGUUAAUCAAGAAAAAUAUAAAACUUGAUGCCAAUACUAUGCCAUCAUGAUAUAAUUAUAGCAUGAAACAAUAAACAUUUAUAAAUACGUAUAGGACAUAUCAACUGGCAUGAAUAAAUUGAUGUUUUUCUAGGGUUCGCUAAUACUCGGCAAUAUUGUUCUCCUAGAUAACCAGAUAGACACAAGGUACUCCUUGGUUCCUAUUGGUUCGACGUCCAAGCUAAAAUGGUGACUAGCACGAAUAAAUUGAUGGCUUUCUCUAUCGCUCAGUAUUACUUGAUGACACUCUUCUGCUGGGUAGCUGAACAGAAGCGAGGUUCUUCCUACCAAUUACAAAUGGGCGACUCCCACUAUGUCGCCAUUGCCACGUUAAUCCAAGCUAAAAUGGUGACAAGCAUGAAUAAAUACUUGUCUUUCUCUAAGGCUUAUUAAUAAUUCAUGGUACUAUUCGGUUGGAUAGCCAGACAGAAGUAAUGUACUCCUUGUCAAUUUGAGGGCACAACUCUUGGCAUCUAGCCAUCCGUCUGGUGACUAGCACGAAUAAAUUGAUGUCUUUCUCUACAACAAAUGAUUGAUGGUACUAUUCGGCUAGACAACUAGAUAGAAGCAAGGUACUCCCUGGUUCCUGCCGAUUUAAGGCGGAUGGCUCCCGGUAAUAUGUGCAUUAAUCCAAACGGAAACGGUGACUAGCAUGAAUAAAUCCAUGUCUUUCUUUUUGGAUCUUUAAUACUUCCACAUUUCGACUAGGUUGUCCGGAAGCGUGAGGUGGGCAUCUUCAGAUACUGAGCCACAUGCACAUUAAUCCAUGCUAAAAUGGUGACUUGCACAAAUAUAUCGAUAUCUUUCUCUAGGGCUCAUUAACACUUGAUGGUAUCAUUUGGUUGGACAACCGGAUGGAAAGCAAGUAUUCCAUGAUUUCCUAUCCAUAUAGGGUGGAUGGCUCCAGGGCACGAGAUAGUUACACAAUAAUCUGGGCUCAUCUAAAACGAAUAAAUGGAUGUCUUUCUCUAUGGCUCAUUAAUACUUUGGUGGCACUCUUUGGGGUGUACAAAAGCGAGGUACUCCGUUCUGAUUUCAGGUGGUUGUGGGACCACUAGAUGGACACAAGCAAGGUACUCCCUGUCAUUUGGGGGAAUAUUUUAAAUAUUAUUUGUAUUACAUAAAUUUCGAAAAUAUAACCCUAACAUAUAAUAUUUCACUGGUAGUACUCCGCAUGUCAGUGCCAACAAUGACAGGUAUCAUUAGCACUGCCAAUGAUACAUCUGUUGUCGUUUUGAGUCAUGUGGGCCAUCAUCAGUGCAUCCUACAUCAGCCCUCCCACAUGACACACUCGUACAGAGCAAGCUACCUUUGGUCAUGUACAAUGUUGCUAUAUUUGCAAUGUCACCUAAGAUCAUUGAUGAGUUAAACGAGAGUGAAUGGAGGAAAAAAAAGGCUUGCCAUCUCUUACCUAAGAGAAGGUCUCUCAAGAAAAGAAGAUAAGACAAUGCUAUCCAAUGUACUAGAUGUCAUCUCUUAUAUUUUCUAGUUUAAUUUUAACCAUCACAUUAAUUUAAGAGCAUGUAAAGGUUACUUGUUAGGCUAAGAGCUAAUUCAUUGUAUAAUAUGUUUUUAAGCUUCUCUAAAUGACAUACAUAGCAUACGAGAAUAUUGUAACAAAUAACUAUUUGUGUAUAGUGUGCUCGGUCUAUUAUGUAGAUAUAAAGCAUGUGCUAUUUGAAUGUAAUGUUGCAAGGGAGGUUUGGGACAAUCUUGGUCUACUGGAACUAACCGAAGAGGCAUGCAUGCUGGACCAUUGAGGUAGUGUUUUUUUUCACAAAUUCACAAUUGAUUUUUUUAUUUGCUAAUAUUAUUUUUAAAAAGCAUGAUUUUUUUAGUUUGAGAACAUUUUAAAAUUUUCAGAAAUUAUUUUUAAUUGGGGAAUAAUUAUAAUUUGAUGAGCAUUUUUAAACAUCCUAAACAUUUAUUUUAAUUAGAAUAUAUUUUUAUAAAGUUGCAAACCUUAAAAUCCAUGGAUUGUUUUUCAAAAUUCGAAGCAUUUAUUAAAAUUCUUGAAAAUAUGUAGAAAAUGAAUAAAAUUUAUCAGCAUUUGUUAAAAUUUUCACAGUAGGCAACCUUUUAAUAAGUUUUCUAGUAAACAGCUAAAAAUAGAUCUGUACAACUGAGAAAAAGCUAUAUCUCGCAAGAUAUAACCUGAGCUCGCCUCUGAGCCCACCUUAGUGGGUGGGCCCAAUGGUUCGGAUUUGGAAAGGUAGUACUGGCUGGUACAGAUUUGUUUUAGAACCAGUUUCACAAAAAAACUAGUUUUAGAACCUUUCGAGUUAUUAUUUUUCCUUUUUGUUAUUCGGUGUUUUCUUGGUGUACUUCAUUUUUAUUUCUUGUUUAUUUUCUCUAUUGGUUUUCAUUAGUCUCAUUAUUGAAUUUUAUGUUUUUCAUUCCUUUCUCUCUUUUUUGCAUUUUUCAAAUACACAUUGACUUUAUUUAAAUACACAUUGGAAAAUGCUUAUACAUGUUGAACCUAUUUGGAUACACGUUAAACACUUUUCAAAUACAAUUUGAAUACUUUUUUAAAUACACCUUGAACAUUUUUCAAAUGUACACUUGUAGGGUAACGCGGCAGAAAACAAAAAAAUUCCGACCUAUGCACCAGCCCAGGACCACUAUGGAGACUGCAUACAUGGUUUGAUCUUUUUCGUUACCGACUCGUAGCGCAGCGGGAAGUAGAGUCGAUGACGAUCGGCGGUGCAGAUCCCCGCAGCUAGGGUUUACAACCUCCCAACCGCGAGGAUGUAUACCCUCAUCUGCUCCUCAGGCAGCCCUUCGGGAGGACCUUCGAAACUCGGACAGCCCUUCGGGAGGACCUUCGAAACUGGAAGGUCACUCAGACAGCCCUUUGGGAGGACCUUCGAAACUCGGACGGUCACACGGACAGCCCUCCGGGAGGCACUCACGAAGUAAGACCGAAACUAUGAUCUCCUCUACAGAGUUGCACACAUACGGUGUCAUCUAUCCGGCAGCUUCGCCGUUCAGAAGUAGUUCCUGCCGGAACCCAGACAGCCUUUCGGCUCUACGAAACUAUUUCACGGGGAGGGAGAGAGAAGUCAAAUCAUUGCAUGGCACUUGUAUGUGAGAAGGGAUGAGGAGAAUGGCAGCCCCUUCUCCUCCUUUUAUAGGCCAAGGCAAGGGGUGGGGCGGUGGAGGAAAUACCAAAACACCCAUGCUACAUGUCCCACAUGAAGGGUGAAAUGGUAACUCAAGUGGGGCACCAAGGGGAUACCAUGGAGGCACCCCCUUGGCCAGCCACAACCUUGCCCCCUCCCAUGGGGGGGGGGGGGCAACAAGCCACCAACAUGUCUCCUAGAAACAUGGGUGCUCCCUAGACAAAAAGCCACCAAACAUGUAACUCCCGAUUCGUGGGAUCUUGUCCCCUCAUGCUGAGACAAGAUGUUUUCCGCGAAACAUUUUUUCUGAAAAAUUCCGGAAGGUCCCAGAACAUUUCCGGCACCCUCUAAAAUUCUUCUGGGCAUGAUCCGAAACAUUUCCGGUGUGGUGAUUUUUAUCAGCGAAAAGUAACAACGGCGGUUACGGCAGCUCCGGAACAUUUUCGGUUUUUCUCUCCGAAAAUUCCCAAAAGUUCCCAGACCAAUUCUGGGGCCCUCUAAGAAUUUCCAGGCGAGUGCCGAAACCAUUUUGACCUAAUAAUAUAUUCCGAAACAACUUUUCGGUUUUACCGAAACUCUUUUGGUGUUCUCUCUCCGGAAAUCUUCUGUUGUCUCCGAAACUUUUCCGGUGACUUUCUCUCAGACUCCCUGUCUAGUAUUCAGCAGAUAGAUGACCCUUAAGCGUGUGACCCUAUAGGUUCGGUGAAGUAUAGACAUGACCUGGAACCCCUUCCGAUCAAUGAUCAACAUCGGAGCCGUGGACACCGAUAUUGACCCCUAUACCCACACGAAUGAAUAUUCGAGUGAACCUCCAGUUGCCGUGUGCUAUUCCUGUUGCUUUGUGACAUGUUACAAAUACCCGAGGUGAGAUUUACUUGCAUCCCCGUGGAUCAACGACUUGUCCACUAUGCUAGUUACCUCGUUACCGGUUUUGUUCUCUUUUCUCGUUUCCGUGUUGCGGCAUCCCUGUGAUCAAAUCACACUGUGUCUGGCCAGACGAUGAUGGAUAUCGUAACACUGAGAGGGCCCGAGAAUAUCUCUCCAUCGUCGGAGGAGCAAAUCCCAAUCUUGAGCUAUCAAGUUACUUGACACACUUUUCCAUGAACCCGUAAGCCGCCAUAAUAGCCACCCAUUUACGGAUGACGUUUAACAAACCCCAAAGUUCAUGAAGCAAGUAUGAAGAAACUCGAUACUCUCAUGGUCUAAGGAAUUAUGCAAACGUUAACCAUCUCUGUGUUAUGUACCAUUAACUUGUGACGAACGAAUCUCAUAGCAUAACAUCAAUCUGGGUCGAUUCAACACAAAUGUUCUCUUAACAUUGUGCCCUCAAAGUUGCUGCCAUAGACAUGCCCAUGACCAGGAAAACAAAAUCAUCAUGCAACACUUGAGCUAGUCUUAGAGGCCAGACUAGGAAUACUUCUUACCGUUUAUUAUUCCACACAUGCAUAUGAGUCUUCCUCCGAGCCUCGUGUUAUUGCAGACUCGAGAACCAUAGCAGUUAUAGCAUGGAACAUAAACAUAAUUAUGAACAUGGAGAUAAGUAAUAGCAUUUAUUAUUGCCUCUAGGGCAUAUAUCCUACAACACUAAACAUCUUUAGAAUACAAUGUGAAAUUUUCCUAAACACACAAUGACCAUUUUUCAUAAAUGCCAUGAAUAUUAUUUUUAGUUGUGCAAACAGUUUUGAAGUACUAAGGAAAUUUUCUUCAAAUUCAUGAACCUUUUUUCAAUGGUAUGAAACAUUUUCUGAAGAUUGCACAAACAAAAUUUAACUUUGUAUGAAUUGUUUUUAAAAAUUCCGCGAACUUAUUUUUAAACACAUGAACAUCUUUCUAAUAUGAUAAUCAUUUUUUGAAUAUUGUGAACAUUUUCUACAAACUAUGCAAACAACUUUUUUACAUUACAUGAAGACUUUUUAAUGCUGAUCAACAUUUUAAAAACUAAAUAAAAUAAAAUAAAUAAAUAAAAUAAUACUCAAAAUAUUUAGAAAUAUAAUAUAUAUAUAUAUAUAUAUAUAUAUAUAUAUAUCAAAAAUAAACAAACGAAACAUAGCAAGACUCCCUACUAGCAGGGCCACUAUGGGAUCCCUCGAGCUACUAUCUCGCUAAAAGCUAGACAUAGCGGGGACCUCCUAAUCAGCGCUUCAGGCGCCAGUUGAGCCAACUGGCGCUCACUGCAGCACGCCAGUGGGCCGGCCCAUAAACAGCAGCACAAAAAUUAUUAAAUAGUGCGAAAAACACCCAAGAAGGGCUAGGGGGAGGGGUCGAACGCGCGUUCGGCUGACCACUUGUGCUACAAUGCCUUCGUUGUAAUAUCGGUGCACGUAGAUUUCAAUAACAAAAUAGUAGCCGCGCUAUUUAGAAAACUUGAUUUCUUUUCAAGCAUAAAUGUGAACAAAAAUUCAAUGUCCACAGAUUCAAAAACCAUCACGAAUUAGAAAAAAGUUCACCGAAUUUGAAAAUUUUCAAUAAAUUUUGAAAAAGUUCAUCGAAUUUACAAAAGUUCAUCGGAUUUGAAAAAAAAAGUUCAUCAAAUUUUAAGAAAGUUCAUGGAAUUUGAAAAGCGUUCAUCGAAUUAUAAAAAGAGUUUAUCAAUUAAGAAAAAAAGGGUUCAUGAAUUCUAAAAAGGACGCAAUAAAGAAAACAAAAAGAAGAGACAGAAAAGCAGAAGAAAAAAUGAAAAAGAAAGAAGAAAAAAGCAGAACCGAAGUAAAGAAUAAGAGAAAAAGAGAACAAUCAGUCAAUUACUGGUGCAGUGGUGCUUAGCCUGGCGGCUGGAACGAAACCGUGAAGUGGUUGCCGGUUCGAAACCGGGAUCAUGCUCAUUUUUUGCGUUUGGAAAACAAAUUAUAUGGGUCGGCCCAGCUCAUUUGCAGAAUACACAUUAACAAGCGCCUGCAGCGCUAAAUAGGAUUUGCCCACAUCGGCGCCGUAAACGCAUCACAAUCACAUUAGAUUGGAUAAAAACCUGCCAAAGUGGGCCGUCUCAAUACGUGCGUGGCCGUUUGCUCGACUACCAGCAGACAGUGGCCUAGUCCACGUUGCUGUCAUCCACUCAUUCCCAAAAAAACCUCAAAAAAACUCAUUCCCCCCAAAAAGUACAUGAUGCUGUAAAAGAAAUGGAAAUGAGCUUAUUUGACUAUUUUUUACUACUAAAUAAAAUACUUUUUGUAGCUUUAAAAAACCGGAUGACAAACCGUGAACUUCGGUCCAAUCAAUCGAUGAAAACUUGAACCGACAACUUCACUCAUUUAAAACUAUGGUAUAAAGGGUUGACUAACAAAUUGGAGUAGUUAGAGCAUCUACAGCCGGACCUCUCAAACCCGCCUCAGACGCGCGGGGCAGGCCGCCUGUUCACUGAUUGGUCAUGUUUUUUCGAUCCAGACAGACGACUCAAACGGGCCUCAAACGCCCAGGCUGAUCAGCAUCCACCAUAUACAGGCCAAAUAUGGGGCACACGGGCACGCCUACCACGUCGAACCCGGACCAUGCUGGCCCACCCGACCCUACUUAUAUUCGUCGCCAUCCUCUCGCCUGAGCAAACCCUAGCCACUUCACUCCACUCCUCUCCGCCACUCCAGCUCACCUCCGGCGGUUUCCGGCCUUCUCCGCCAUGGCAGGCAGUGGAUCAGACUCCGACCAGUCAGGAUCCGUCGAUCUGGGUGUCAUCCCGUGUGGGUUGGAAGAGGCAAUGGCAGUCCGCAUUGCACUCCGCCGCGGACAAUGAUAGUGCCCGGCAGGCAGACGGAUCCGUCCGCGCGCCGCGACGCCUUAGCAUCGCCUCACCGGGCACUCGGGUCCUCUGGUGCUAAAUCCUCGUUGUCCCGGCAGCCGGAACACCUCUCCUUCCUCAUCACCGGCCGGGCAGGCUAUGAGUCCCACCGGUAACGGGUGGCCCGCUGUGGGAAGGAAAGGAUAAGGGCCGCCGAGGCCCGUAUCGCGGCGAAAAUGGCGGCGGUGGAGGCGGCUGAUACGGCGGCGCAGGCGGCCGCACAGGAGAAGCCAUCUGCACCCGCAUUGUGAAGAAACGGCUGCUGAGGAACAUGCGUGCCCUCGCCCGAGAGAAGAAUCGGGCGGUCCGUGCCAUGGCUGGACUGCCACCGAAGGCGACGGCGAGGUCAGCACCGGCGACGAGCAGAUCCAGCUCGAUCUGUACUGCUUCUUCGACCGGUACUUCCGCGAGGACAGCGAAGGUGUCGGGAAGGGCAAGGGCAGUCAUGGGUAAACUCCACAAUAGACAUGCCAAAUUUUGCUAGUCCGAUGGCAUGUUUAGUGUAGUGUGAUGGAGUAGUCGGACGAUGUGUGUGCAUCGACGUAGUUGCAUGAGUUUGUAUGGAUUUGAGAUAUGGUAAUUGACGUGUCCGGGCGUUUGAGGGAUUGGAUUUGCCAAGUCCCGGUUGUAUAUGCUGUUAACAGAAUGUCCCAUUCCCAACAGUAGAUAUGUAUCAAUUUAUAUCUGGGUUAGAUGGAAACAACGCAUCUGAUUUUUAGCUCUUUUGGAAAGGUGCCAAACGGUAAAGAAUCCCAACCAUAAAUAUCGCCGAUCACCGUCGCUGCCCAACGGUCUAUUCACGUCUAUUAAGAAAACCAUGAUUUCUCAUAUUCAUUAAUUAAUAUGAGGUGCAGUUGUUGUUCUUGGUAGUGUUAUGCAAUCAGAAGUAAUGGAUUCUCUAGUCUCUUGAGUUGAAGUUUGGAUUUGUUUUCUAUCUUUUAAUUUAUUUAUUUAAUGAGCAUGGCUUAUGUUUUUAGUUGACACGCUAAUGUUUGCCUCACAAUAUUAUAAGAGGUGCGUUGUUGGAAUACAUGUUCCACUUCCUUCAUUUGUAAGAUGACAAUAAUCUAAACAACAAUAAAAAACAAAACUGUAGCUAUUGAUGAAAACACAUCAUGGACCAAGACCUGGAACACUUAGCAUGCAUAUUUUUCCCAAAGAUCCUAAUUAAGAAAAUAGUCCAAAGGAUAAUGAAUUUGGAAACAAAUAUAUUUUAUUUCAAUAUAGCUCUUAAAUGUAAGCGCUAAAUAGCAUCUACAAAAGCUCUCCAUAGUAUAUAAGACCAUCAAUAUCUUGUCCAGUGGAAGAGGGCGGCACAUCAACCCAUCCACCAUUUACCAUGGAAGACUGUCCUAGAUCGGUACCGCUAGAGCCUAAGUAAUCAUCCAUCCCAAGGAAACUAUUGUAGAAUGCCUGAUCUGAUAGAGCAUGACCCCAUUGUUCAGUGUUAAAUGGGUCAUCAAUAGAAAAAGCAUUGCCACUUGAGUACCCCAAUAGUGGAGAGGCCUCCAAAUUCUGCCCAGACAUUGAGUCGUGGUUUGCAUCACUUUGUUGUGGUUUCACUAUGUCGCAAGGACUUUCAUAGUUCUGAACAUGCAACUCCUCAGGUUGAGUUUGCUCAUGUACCUGAUUUGGUAUGGAUUGGACAUGGGAAGCCAAGUGUGGAGCUAAAGAUGGUGGCGCAAAGUCAAACAUUUGUGGUACCUGCAUAGGAAAAAGUGGUGCCGAAGUUUGUUCUGGUUGUGAUGGUAGUGGAUCUGCAGGUGGCUGGAGUUGUGAGAGAUUGUGAGGCCAUGAUGGCUGCAUUAGUGAAUGAGUAGUACCCAAAUGAUCUGUCGGCAGAACACUUGGUACUUGCAGAUCUUGUGCUACACAUGUGCCACUGGUCUUGGCUUCACGACCAUGCAAUGGAGGUAGCCAGCAUCUAAUGUCUUUUUGGACCUGAGAGAGCUCACUGAAGAGCUUAUUUAGAUCUUCAAGACCGAGAUCUUGUUCCUUCGUGAAGAUAAGAUUUGCCACCAUACUUGGAUUCUCUUCUUGGAUACUUUUCAUAGAAGGAUGGAAAGUUUGUUUCGGUCUUCCUCGGCCAUGUUCUCCAUGUCCAACUGAGCCACCUCGUUUUGUAGGCUUCCAAUCCUAGCAGUGGUUGCCUCAUUGGUGGAGGGAACUGCUGGUGGAGCUCCAAAUAGGAAAGAAUCAACAAUGGGAUCAGCCAAUGGUGUCCCAAAUGAGUGCAUCUUUCCAUUAUGUGUCUCUAGGACGACUGCAACCCUAGCCCUGGUGAGGGCAGAGAUGUCAGUCGCCCUCUUGAACAAACCGGAACGUCGCUUGUAGAAGGUGAGAUCACGGUCUUUGUCAUUCUGGAUGUAUGCCACACCUGACCGCCGCUCUUUCCUCGGCAUACUAUUGUGGACAAAGAGGAAGAAACUUACUACUACAAAUAGGAAGCACAAGUAUCUACAAAAAACUAGAGAUUUACAGGUACUGUUGGCUAACAGCAUAUUGGUGUAGGAUAUGAGAAGAUGUACUCCCCUUAUAUAGAAUAAAAGGGUUGUAUGGGAGUGCUAUUUGACUAUGCUAAGGCUAUGUAAAUAUUUAGUAAGAAUUAACAUACAUAACUCAUAAAAGGUGCUAGUUUAUGGAUACUAUUAACUCUCGUCCAAAUAUACAUAUGUGAAUGCAUUGACAUCCUUCUUUGCAACCACUGAUAUGUCUUUCUUAUGAUGUAAGUAUUCACAUCCAUAUAUAGAACUAUUAACACUUACAAAAAUUGAAAUAUUAAAUGAUUGCCAUUUGACUACAUCCAUAUCCUUAUCUAGAAGUAUUAAUGGGAGUUAAACCCAACUAAGUUUUACUCUAAUAUACAAAAUAAUUGUGGUCAAGUUUGUUUGGUUGUUAAUUGCUUCCAAAUCCUUUGUUGAUCACAUUGAUUACAUCCUAGUAUAUCAGUGAUCCCAUUUAUUACAUGCAUAUCAUGUACUAUCUAUGAACUAUCUAAUCUAGAAGUGGUCGUCCUUUAAUCCAUAAUACGCCAGUAUAACAUGGACCUUGCUGAGGGAGUCCUGGGUUAGGGGGUCCUCGGACAGCCGGACUAUAUACUUUGGCUGGACUAUUGGACUGUGAAGAUACAAGAUUGAAGACUUCGUCCCGUGUCCGGGUGGGACUCUCCUUUGUGUGGAAGGCAAGCUUGGCAAUUCAGAUAUGUAGAUCUCCUCCCUUGUAACCGACUUUGUGUAACCCUAGCCCCCUCUGGUGUCUAUAUAAAUCGGAGGGUUUAGUCCGUAGGACAAGAACAAUCAUAAUCAUAGGCUAGCUUCUAGGGUUUAGCCUCUACGAUCUCGUGGUAGAUCAACUCUUGUAAUACUCAUAUCAUCAAGAUCAAUCAAGCAGGAAGUAGGGUAUUACCUCCAUCAAGAGGGCCCGAACCUGGGGAAACAUUGUGUCCCCCGCCUCCUGUUACCAUCCGCCUUAGACGAACAGUUCGGGACCCCCUACCCGAGAUCCGCUAGUUUUGACACCGACAUUGGUGCUUUCAUUGAGAGUUCCACUAUGUCGUCGCCAUAAGGCUUGAUGGCUCCUUCGAUCAUUGGCAACGAUGCGAUCCAGGGUGAGGUUUUUCUCCCCGGACAGAUCGUCGUAUUCGGCGGCUUCGCACUGCGGGCUAACUCGCUUGGCCAUCUGGAGCAGAUCGAGAGCUACGCCCCUGGCCGUCAGGUCAGGUUUGGAAACUUAAACUAUACCGCAGACAUCCGCAGAGACUUGAUCUUCGACGGAUUCGAGCUAGUGUCAGGUGCGCCGCACAGUCACGACGAGCAUGACUUAGCUCUGCCGCCAGAUAGUGUUCGAUAGAUCACACCUGUGGCAACUCCGGACCUCGAUCAGGAGCAGAUCACGCCGUCCGAGGACGGGUGGAUGGACCCCGCCACGGAGGCCGCACACUCAACGGCGAUAGUGCCGAAUACUGACUUCACCUCCUACGAGACCUGUGUUGCCAGAUCCUUGGAUUCGUCCCCGGCCACGGGCUCCGAACCGCCUGCUUCCGUGCCUAUCAAAUCUGAUUGGGCGCCGAUCAUGGAGUUUUCCUCCGCGGAUAUCUUUCAGCACUCGCCCUUGGGCGAUGUGCUAAAUUCAUUAAGGUCUCUCUCCUUGUCAGGAGGCCCUUGGCCGAACUAUGACUGGCUGGAGUAGGAAGCGAACGACGAAGAAAUUCGUUCCCCACCCACCACCCACUUAAUAGCCAUUGUCGAUGACUUAACCGACAUGCUUGAUUUCAACUCCGAAGACAUCGACGGUAUGGACGACGAUGCAGGAGAGGAACAGGACAGCCACUUCAUCACACGAUAUAUACAUGGUGGAUACACCCAAAGAAAACAAUGAUGAGGAACGGCAGGAUGCAGCGAAGGAUAAUACCCUCGAGAAGCAACCAAAGCGACGACAUAGGCGCCGCUCCAAAUCCCGCCUCGGCAAAAACAGCGAUAACAGCACAAGAAAGAAUAAUACCCCGGUCGACUCCAAAGCAAACGACGACCACAUGGACCCAGUCAUAGAGCAGUAUGAACCAGCGGACGGUGAAGAUAGUACGGAGCCGUUGUCCCAUCACGGCGAUGCCGAGGGUAAAGCUCAUCAACCUAUAUACGGAGAGGAGAACAGUCCGGACGACGAUGCACACAUCAUCCCGGAAAGGCACUUGGAGCAAGAGGACCUCCACAGAAGGCUUAUUGCCACCGCGAGGAGUCUGAAGAAGCAAAAGCAAAGGCUUAAGGCCAUGCAAAAUACACUCAACAGUAGAUGGAACAAAGUGCUCGACACUGAAGAAAAGUACGGUGGCAGCCGCCACACAAAGAGCUAUCCAAAGCGCAAGCCGCUGCCCGAAUUUGAUGACGAGGCUUUAGAGCCUAUACAGCCGAAAAAUAAAACGGCCAAUCAGCCGGAUCGACCACCCCGUGGCCGCGAUAGGGCGGCUAACGAUGUCGCACAUAAGUCAGCACACGAUUUACGUGAGGACUUGCACCAAAAAGCCGGUAUGACCAGGUCCAUCUACGGAUCUAGAAAGCGCGCUCCGGCACAGAAUCAAAACCGAACACUACAACCGUCAGAAUGCCAUGACACAUCCAAAUACAGGGGUGCCGCGCACCCCCUAUGCUUCACCGAUGAGGUUAUGGAUCACGAAUUUCCAGAAGGAUUCAAACCCGUGAACAUUGAGGCAUAUGACGGAACGACAGACCCUGGGGUAUGGAUUGAGGACUUUAUCCUUCAUAUCCACAUGGCUCGCGGAGAUGAUCUCCACGCCAUCAAAUACUUGCCCCUCAAGUUGAAAAGACCAGCUCGGCACUGGCUGAAGAGCCUCCCCGAAAACUCAAUUGGAAGUUGGGAAGAGCUUGAAGAUGCUUUCAGGGCUAAUUUUCGAGGGACCUAUGUCCGACCUCCGGAUGCGGACGUUUUAAGUCAUAUAAUUCAACAGCCCGGAGAGUCAGCCCGAAAGCUUUGGAACAGAUUCCUCACUAAGAAGAAUCAAAUUGUCGACUGCCCGGACACCGAAGCCUUAGCGGCUUUCUUGUCCGAGACGAAUGGCUCGCCAGACACCUCGGCCAGGAAAAACCGAGGACAAUGGCAGCCCUAACAAGCCUUAUGACCCGCUUUUGCGCGGGCGAAGACAGCUGGCUGGCCCGUAGCGGCACCAGUAACCCGGGCACAUCAGAAGUCAGAGAUGGCAAUGGGAAACCACGACGCAAUAAAAGCAAGCGCCGAAACAACAAAGACAGCCCAGACAACACGGCGGUAAAUGCCGGAUUCAGGAGCUCUCAACCCGGUCAACGGAAAAAGCCAUUUAAAGGUAGCAGAGAUGGACCGUCCAGCCUAAACAAGAUUCUAGACAGAUUAUGUCAGAUUCAUGGCACCUCCGACAAACCCGCAAAUCACACCAACAGAGAAUGCUAGGUCUUCAAGCAGGCCGGCAAGCUAAAUGUCGAACACAAGGGGAGGGACACACCAAGCGAAGACGAGGAUGAGCCUCGCCAGCCGAACACUGGGGGAUAGAAAAAAUUCCCACCAGAGGUCAAAACCGUGAACAUGAUUUACGCAACUCACAUACCGAAGAGGAGGCGCCAGUGCGCGCCCCGAGACAUAUACGCCGUGGAGCACGUCACCCCCAAGUUCAACCCUUCGUCGGCCCGCCCGAUCACUUUUGAUCGCAGGGAUCACUGAAAGUGCGUUAUAUCGACUAGAGGGGGGGUGAAUAGGCGAUUUUUAUGAAAUUCUUCACUGAAGAAUUUGCCGGUGAGGAAAUUCCUUAGCAAAGAACUACUAGCAGCGGAAUGAGUACUCAAAAGUAAACAUAACAUAAUACAAGCAUAGUCAUCAUGAUGAAAUGAAGACAAGCACAGAGUACAGAAGCGUAAGCACAGGAUAACACAGGAUGAAGACAAACAGACUGAAGAAAUUGAACUGAGGAAAUUGAGAAAGUCUUCAGUCAAAGUCUUCAAGCACAGAUAUGAACAACCACACAACACAGUUAUGAGGAAAUGGAAGAGUUGAGGAAAUAGAACCAGUAAGCUUGGUGAAGACAAUGAUUUGGUAGACCAGUUCCAACUGUUGUCUCAGUUGUAUGUCUGGUUGGAGCGGCUGAGUAUUUAAACUCGAGGACACACAGUCCCGGACACCCAGUCUUGAACACGCAGCUCAGGACACCCAGUCCUCACCGUAUUCUCCUUGAACUAAGGUCACACAGACCUCGUCCAAUCACUCGUGGUAAGUCUUCAGGCGACUUCCAAACCUUCACACACUUGGUCACUUGGUGAUCCACAAUUCCUCUUGGAUGCUCUAGACCAUGACGCCUAACCGUCUGGAAGAAGCACAGUCUUUAAAGGUAACAAGCGUCGGAUCCAUGCAGGAUCAAUCUCUUCAGUGAUGCUCAAUCACUUGGGGUUUGUAGGUGUUUGGGUUUUGGGUUUUUCCUCACUCGAUGAUUUUCGCUCAAAGUCCUCAGAGGAUGGGUUGCUCUCAAAUGACAAGUGUUAGUUUCUCUCGGAGCAGCCAACUAGUUAGUGGUUGUAGGGGGCGGCUAUUUAUAGCCAAGGGAGCAGCCCGACAUGAUAAGACAUAAAUGCCCUUCAAUGAUAUGACCGUUAGGUGGAUAGAUAUUUUGGGACAGCUGGCGCAUAGCAUAGCAACGGUCGGAAUUUUGAGUAGCAAAAUCCUCAGGGCUAUCAUGUUCCUCACUGUGUAGGAAAUCCGCACUGGCGAAUUCCUAAAUCCUCAGUCAGAACAAAUUCCUCAGAGACUAGAAGAACUUCGUCUCUGUCACUGAAGAAUAUGACUGGACUGUAUGAGAUUUCCAAUGGCUUCACUCGAAGGAAUUGGUAGGUGUAGGAUUUUGAGUUGAGCAUCACGUGGAAAUUUUCCUUAGUAUUUCCUCGACCCCCUUUAACAGUACGGUGUUUCCUAUGACUCAAGAAAGAUAAAAUGAAACUACGAAAACAAGAGUCUUCACGCUUCAUGUUCCUCGAACGAAUACCAAGUCUUCAAGGUCACACCAAUUUCUUCACUUUCAAAGUCUUCAUAAAGUCUUCAGUGAUCCAAAGUCUUUAGUUGAAGAACUUCAUUUUUAGGGGUUGACUUUCUCUGUAAAUAUCAAGCUCCUCAUAGACUUAUAGACCUGUGUACACUCACAAACGCAUUAGUCCCUUAACCUAUAAGUCUUCAAUACACCAAAAUCACUAAGGGGCACUAGAUGCACUUACAAUCACCCGACUAGUAUCCGGCAUGGAGGAUGGGCUGCCUUGGUGCUAGACCCAAUAAUUGACGGAUACCACCUCACCCGAGUCCUUAUGGAAGGCGACAGUAGUCUUAAUCUGAUAUAUCAGGACACCGUCCGCAAAAUGGGGAUAGACCUGACAAGAAUAAGCCAAAGCAAUACUACCUUUAAAGGAGUAAUACCAGGCCCAGAGGCCCGCUGCACGGGCUCUCUAGUACUAGAGGUUGUAUUCGGUUCUCCCAACAACUUCCGAAGUGAAAAGUUAACCUUCGACAUCGCUCCAUUCCGAAGCGGCUAUCAAGCACUACUCGGAGGAACGGCAUUCGCCCGUUUUAAUGCAAUACCGCAUUACGCUUAUCUUAAGCUUAAGAUGCCCGGUCCAUGUGGCAUCAUCAUAGUUAGCGGAAACACAGAGCGUUCCUUACAUGCGAAAGAAUGUGUGACGGCUUUAGCAGCUGAACACUAAACUGCCUCUCCAAACCAGAAUAAAUGAUCGGUCGUCAAGACCGCGGACAAGGCUAGACGAGUCCAGCGCACCACUAGCUGUAACAGCUCAAAUAAACCUAAGACUGGGUCGAUGGAUAUACCCCCAUAGGUGGUGCUAGGGGCUUCCCGCAUGUAUAAAGGACUACAGUUCGGCUUGACCUUAUUUAGAUUGAAUUUUAAUGGUUUAUUAAGAAUAACCAAUUUUUCGCAUGAAAACUUUAACUUGGGCUUUUCUCUCUUACAGAUGAUCAUCGUGCUACACCCUUCCAGGAUACGACACAACUGAGACACAGGUGCAGACGUGCAGCAGGGCCCCGUUCAAAGGUUUCUUUUUAGAUUGACCCUGUGUAAACCUUUUUUAUUGUCUCUUGUUGCUUCACACCUUCCGGAUACUCAACAUAACCAAGAGGGAUGUUGGCGUUAUUGGCAUUUCGUCACGUCAUACUAAUGCACGUACGUGGAAAUUCAGGGCUCAUUAUCGAGGGCGUUACUCAGCCCAGUAUAUGUUGUAAAGUCCGAAUACCUUAGGGAGUGUUCGGCGUCGCGAGUUUGGCCUUAUAUGCAUCAGCUCCGAAUCAUGUCUUUGGUCAAUAGUUGGGUUUGCCCGGCUCCCGUGUUUUGCUACCUUACGUUCCGCUCUAUCGGCUAAGGCGGCACCGGGAGAACUACUGCGAUUGUGCCCUGGUUCAUCUGGAUGAGCACCUCAAUAGAGAAAGCCGAAAACUGACUGUCAUGAUAAAGCGCGAGACUGGUCAACCACUCGAUGACUCAGCGGAAUCUUCGCGAUUCCUCCACAUUAACGAAGGGCCGGUUUCCUGGUCAUGUAUGUACGCGCACCGUGUUCGGAUGAGCGCGGAAGUACCAGGGGCUAUAUCGUAGCCCCACCAUCAAACUCCUAUGGCUAAGUGAAAGUGUUAAAGCUAUAUAGUCCGAUUGCCUUGUUCGCCGUGCUGUCACCUCCUUAAAGGACCAAGACGUUGGGUCAAGUGUGAAUACGCGCUUUUCCAAACACCCCCGCAUUAUGUGCGUGGGGGCUGAAGCCGACGACUGCAAACUUUCAGGUUAUAUACAUACAUAAACAGCCGCUCAGGAGGCAUGAUAAUACUUCCAGGCAAAAUUAUAAACAUAGCCUUUAUAAUCCAAAUAGUAUUGUUUUUACAAUUGGGAUACAUGUCACUCGAACAUGAUACUCUUCGAGCACUGAGCCUCUAUUAAACGAGCGCCUUCUAGGACUUCUUCAAAAUAGUGCUAGGCCGAGACCUGGCCUAGGCCGGACCCCGGGUUGCAAUAGCGGUGGCAUCCAUCUCUGCCCAGUAUGUCUUAACACGGGCAAGAGCCAUCCGCGCACCCUUUAUGCACGCCGACCUCUUUACAGCGUCGAUAUGCGGCAUAGCACCAAGGAAUCGUUGCACUAAACCAAAAUAACUAUUUGGCCUUGGCCCUUCCGGCCAAAGAUGAUCCACGACAGACCUCAUGGCAAGCCCGGACAACCUAUGGAGCUCAGCCCACUCGGCCAUUUGCUCAUUUAACAGCAGCGGACGCGUUGGAGCACAGAACUGCGACCAGAACAACUUCUCCACUUCGUGAUCUUUUUGAUCUUUGAAAAACGCAGUCGCAUCAGCAGCACUCAUUGCCAAGUCCGAAUACGCGUCUGCAGCACUCCAUAAUUGAUCCAGAGGGGCAUACUUCGGAUCUCCGAACUUCGUCCACAACAAAAAGGGCUUCCCAGCCGUGAUAUCUCCGGCUUGACGGAGCUCCUCCUUCGCCGGUCUGAUUUUAGAACGGGUUUCCUUGGCUGCUUCCACGGCUUUCUUCAGGUCAGCCGCUCUCGCUUGGCUUUCCUUUUCAAGAAGCUAAUAUCGGUCGGCGGCAUCUUUCAGCUCAACAGCCAUCUUGGCUAUUUUAUCUUCGCUCUUGCGAUGAGCAGUCUAUUCGGCUCUUAAGUCUUCGGCCGCCUUUAGGGCGGCCGCAUCACUCCUCCUGGCUUGUUCCUUGGCUCGGGCAAGUUCUGCCUGAAGGGUCUCCACGGCGGCAGCUCCAUCUGCAGUCACGGCAUAUUUUAGAUAGUAGCAUCAUGCUCCUCAUAAUAUUUGUUGACCACCCAAAAAUACAUACCAUGUGCCUCGUCAAGCCACUUGUUCACAAGCGCAAUGUCAGCAUCUGCCGCGUCAAGGUGCCGGCUCAGUCCAGCAAACUCAGCAGUCCGGCCAGCCACUAGACCGUCAGCCGCCUGCACAUGAAAGUAGCGCGAUCAUUACCUGGGACUACGAUCCUCUGUUUGCUGCCUCUGGAAAGCAACCAGAGUCUCAGGGGCUACUAUCUGUAUAGAGCACACCUAGCGUGUGCGGUACCAUAAAAAAUUUAUAUAUUACUUUGCGUACCUCAAAGCCUCUUAGCAGGCUCGUAAAAGCUUCAUGCAACCCACUUUUGGCGGAUGAGAUCCUCUGAACCACCAUACCCAUUAAAGUAAGAUGCUCCUCUGAGAUAGCCGCUUGCUCCAAAAGACCCAUCAGUACGUCCGGUUGUGCACCGGACAAUCCUAGACUCUUUCUGUUGCUCUCCUUAGGAGCCGAAUACUGCGGACUUCGGGUGGCCGAAGGGUUACCUUCUGUCCUUGGCGGAUCAAGAGAAAUCCUCCGUGAUGACACCUCAGGGUCGUCCGCCCCAGAAGGCUGGGAGACAGGGGGAGGCGUUUCACUCUCCAUCAUCUCCGGAAGAAGAUCCCCCAAAGACGAACUCUGUCGAGAAGGGCUACGAUCCGGAGUGCAAGACAUAUGUCUCGGUUAUUGUCCUCGGAGAUAAAGCAGGAUAUAUUUACCAAAACUACUCUGGUUCACUUACAGCUCGGUGGAGGGCUGACCCCCUUGCGGGCACUGUGCGGUAAGGACGCCCUCCGGGGCAGGGCCCCUGGCGAAGAUUUCUUCCCUUGUUUGGAAACGCUCGUUUCCAAGUCUUCAGAGGCGGUCCUUUUCCUUCCUUGGGGAGAGGGGAUUCUAGAUUCUUCUCCCCGAUUAUCCUCCUUCGCGGAGACACUAAUUCCCCCGGUUUGGAUGAGUAAUGCGUGAGGUCCGCUUUCGUCUUCUUUAUUCCUCCCUUUAUCUUCCCCUGAUGGCACUUGAUAAGGUGCGUGCUCAAGCAUCCUGGCUAGUAUAGGAUCCGGUGAGCCUUCGGGAAGGGGGUCGAACACCUGAUCAUCUUUGCAUUUCUUAUCCAGUCCUGGCCAAGAGCGAUUUUUUCAGAAUGAUGUUGUGACAAAUAAAAGGACAGCAUGUUCGGCCGCAGAAUUACUUACCUGGGUAUCUGGAUGGUUGCAGUUGAGACCCACAUCCUCGGUGGUGUUCGGACACUUUAUUCAUGAUCUGAAGAACAAUCCAUACAUCUCUUCGAGCGUCACACCGAAGAACUGCUGAAUAGUUCGUGGUCCUUCCGGGUUGAACUCCCACAUACGGAGAGAUCGACGUUGGCAUGGCAGGACCCGACAAACUAGCAUGACUUGCAUUACCUUGACAAGGCUGACAUCUCUCUUGAGGAGAUCUCGGAUGCGACUCUGCAAUGUCGGCACAUCAUUAACUGGCCCCCAGUCCAUCCCCUUGUUGACCCAUGAUGCCAGUUGUGGCGGGGGGCCGGGCGGAAGGCGGGGGCAGCUUCCCACUUCGUACUUCGGGGAGCCAUGAUGUAAAACCACUCCCGCUGCCAUAAGUUGGACACCUCCAGGAAGGAACCCUUUGGCCAUGGAGCAUCGGUGCCUUUGCUUAUUAUGGCACCUCCGCAUUCUGUGUGUCGCCCAUCGAUCAUCUUCGGCUUCACAUUGAAGGUCUUGAGCCAUAAUCCGAAGUGUGGGGUGAUGCGGAGGAAGGCCUCACACACGAUGAUAAACAACGAGAUGUGAAGGACGGAAUCUUGAGCUAGAUCGUGGAAGUCGAGCCCGUAAUAGAACAUAAGCCCUCUAACAAAGGGAUCAAGACUAAAGCCUAGCACUCGGAGGAAGUGGGAAACAAAUACGACACUCCCGUUGGGUUCGGGAGUGGGGAUGACCUGCCCUUGAGCAGGCAGCCUGUGCGAGAUUUCGACGGUCAGAUACCUGGCUUCCCUUAGCUUCUUGAUGUCCUCCUCUGUGAUAGAGGAAGCCAUCCACCGGCCUUGAAGGUUGGAUCCGGACAUGGUUGAAGGUCCGAAGUGCUUAGCCUGAGCCUUGGGUGUUGAAACUCGGGGUGGGGGAAGGGAAGGAUUGAGCGCGAGAAGAAAGGGACAGGCCUUGGCCCCUUUAUAAAGAGGGCGAAUAUCAAGCGUCCUCCGUGUGGCCGUUUGGAACUUGCCUAAAAUCGAGGAGUCAUAUUAACAAGCACGAUUGGGUUACCCACACCCGUAUUGAUGGGACUCCCGUGAUAAGGGGAACACGAUCUCUGCUUCGACAAGACGUGCCAAUAAAACCGCCUCGCAACACAUGCGGUGGCAGGCAGGAAAAACGGUUCGUAAUGACCGGGCCACGGCAGGACGUCAUGUUAUGAAAAGUUGUCAGCAGAUUAGAUUUGUGGAAAAAUAUACUCUCUAUGGUGGUAUGUGGAAUUUGUUUUUCAGAGCCGGACACGAUCCUUGGGUUCAAAAUCUUCUAUGGGGUAUUCGGAGAAGGAACCCGCCUUGCAAUGCCGAAGACAAUCUGCGCGCCGGACUCAUCGUCAUUGAAGCCUGGUUCAUGGGCUACUGAGGGAGUCCUGGAUUAGGGGGUCCUCGGACAGCCGGACUAUAUACUUUGGCCGGAUUGUUGGACUGUGAAGAUACAAGAUUGAAGACUUCGUCCCGUGUCCGGGUGGGACUCUCCUUUGCGUGGAAGGCAAGCUUCGCAAUUCAGAUAUGUAGAUAUCCUCCCUUGUAACCGACUUUGUGUAACCCUAGCCCCCUCCGGUGUCUAUAUAAACUGGAGGGUUUAGUCCGUAGGACAAGAACAAUCAUAAUCAUAGGCUAGCUUCUAGGGUAUAGCCUCUACGAUCUCGUGGUAGAUCAACUCUUGUAAUACUCAUAUCAUCAAGAUCAAUCAAGCAGGAAGUAGGGUAUUACCUUCAUCGAGAGGGCCCGAACCUGGGUAAACAUUGUGUCCCCCGCCUCCUGUUACCAUCCGCCUUAGACGCACAGUUCGGAACCCCCUAUCCGAGAUCCGCCGGUUUUGACACCGACACUUGCUUUGGGCCUUAACUUAGAAACUGAGAUAGCAACUAGGAAUGAUACACUAAGAGAAACUAGAAAAUACCAAGACAUUUGGUAAGUCAUGGUAUAACACAUAUGUUACUCUGAGCAUCGACCUGUCUCCUUGGUAAGCCCAGUUCCCACGGAAGAUGUGUUUUUAUUGGUUACACAUGUAUAUAUUGGGCCCUAGUUUUUUAUGGCCCAUAAAAUAAUAUGUACAAGGCUUUUUUUUGGAAGGAGCCAACACAACCUAAUAUAUUAUAUAUUAAAAGUAAUAGAUGGGCUCACCAGAAAAGGAUAAAAAUGCUAGAAAAUCCCUCAAAACAAAAAACAUCCGACUGUCAAUCUAUUAUAUAUU
rnacentral:lncRNA from 1 species